rnacentral:rRNA from 1 species
UACAGAGGGGGCAAGCGUUGUCCGGAAUUAUUGGGCGUAAAGAGCUCGUAGGCGGUCUGUUGCGUCCGCUGUGAAAGCUCAGGGCUUAACCCUGAAAUGGCAUUGAAUACUACUGUGCUGGAGGUUUGGAGGGGGGACUGGAAUUCUUGGUGUAGCAGUGAAAUGCGUAGAUAUCAAGAGGAACACCAGUGGCGAAGGCGAGUCCCUGGACAACACCUGACACUGAGGCACGAAAGCUAGGGGAGCAAACAGG